UGUCACAAAUGUCAUGAAGGAUGGCAAAGG
rnacentral:piRNA from 1 species